rnacentral:sRNA from 1 species
UUCCAGUGGUGACGAUGGGGUGGGCACAUCAUUGGAGAAUUACCAAGCAAAAUAAGUUUGUUUUCAACAAAGUUUGAGUUCGAAUGAAUUGACUGUAUACUGACCUGAUUUUGCCCUAUGCUAUCUGUCUUUCUCCCAGGAUUCAGAGAUGAAGCCAGACUUUGGAAGUUCAAGGAAGAUGCAACUUGUCGCAAGUCUGAGGGUGGACAGGCUAUGUGACAGGGAAUGUGGAUGUAUUUAGGAACUGGGGGCAGCUUUAUAUUAACUGCCAGCAAGGGUUCUCCAAAUGAGAAGCAAGCGGUCAGUUCUUCCAACAGCAAGAACAGAGUUUGAAAUCGGACCCACCUCUUCCCCAGAACCUUGUUGAAAACAGCCCAGCAUGUUGACAAUUUCACAGGGACCUCAGCCAUUGGAUAACUGACUUCUGACUUACAACAUGCCUCAUCUCCGUGUCUGCUUACUCCUAAAUAAAAUAGAAAUAUAAA